CCUUGCCAAUAUCGAUAAAAUACAAACAAGCAUACAAAAGAGAUAAAAUUUUUACUUUCACCAAAAAGGAUGAAGUGGCACAUUGGUGUUCUCCAUGAGACUCCAAAGUAGAAGUCCUCCAAUGGUGAUCCACACAAAAGUUGGCCAAGGUCCUUCCUAACCGAUGCACCGCCGCAGCCUUAUCUUUUCAAGAAUACUGUCGGCUUUGAACUCAUGGUA
rnacentral:lncRNA from 1 species